ensembl:misc_RNA
CUGACAGUCCUGCAAACUGAAACCUCUUUUCAUCCACAGAGCAGGGACAGCCCAGGCAGCAGCAGAACAAGCUUCUCCAAAAUCCUGCCCCUGGCUAAUAGGCUUAGCCUUGCCCAGGAUGUGAGAAGGUAUUUCAGUCCCUGUACUCAUUCACUCUUUGGCCCAU